UUUCAUUAUAGCAAAACAAAAUAGAAUGAAGUAGUCUUAUUCGUAGACUUGUAGCACCAAAAAAAAACAAAAAGGAAAUACUAUAAAAAUUUGUAUAUCUCGAUUUUAAGGUCACAGUGUGUCAUGGCAUAGUUAACGAUCAUUUUUCUUUUAUAUUUUAGUUGUGGUUGUUAAUGCUUCAGUUUUAAACGUUGCGUUUUACACUUGUUUAGUUAACUAUACGGUAUGUUUCAGUUAGUUAAAAGAUGUGUUUUGACCCAUUAAUUAUUGGGUUCCUGUUAUGGGAUUUCCAAUAUAUACCUGUAACCAUUCCUAAUAAAGGUUAUGAAAUUGGAAAUUGUUUUCUCAGUAUCCUUCCUCUCUCAAUUCUCUCAUUCUCUUCUCUAUUUUUUGUUUCUCUCUUUCUUUCUGAUCUAAGACACAACAAGGUAUCAGAGCUGCCGAUCUUCAUGAUCGGCGAAGGAGUAACCACCAGAAUGCAAAAGGAGUUUGGUUUGAUACAAGGUGAGCUUUCUCACAUGCAAGUGGAGUUCUCUCAGUUGGAUGCAAGGAUCGAUGCGUGUUUGAAGGACUUCCAAGAAGGAAUCAAGUCAGAGGUACGUUCGAAACUUCGUUCUGAGCUCCACUCUUUAUUUGAAUAGUAUUUUGGUCAGAGUCCACUAGCUGCAGUCGCGGGCUUGGUGAUUGGUAAAGGGAAGGGUGUUUUGGGGUCUCCACCUGGUUUCCCAGCGAAAGAACACUUAGUGGUAUCCCCAACGCCAGAUCUCGGUCACUCGAGUAUGUCCUUACGGGGAGCUAUGGUGGAGGCUGAGCAUUCUUCUUUUAGAGUAGACUGUCCACACUUUGAUGGUGAGAAUUUUAGGUGGUGGUGGUCCAAAUUAGAACAGUAUUUUGAAGCAGAGGGAACUGGUGAACAUGCGAAAGUUAAGGAAGUCAUGUUGCACCUUGAAGGGAAGGCACUUGAGUGGCAUCAUUUCUUUGUCCGUAGACAUGGGGGGUUGCACCUACUGACUUGAGAGGUGUAUGCGAGGGGACUUAGGGAGCAUUUCGGGUCUAAUUCCUUCCUUGAUCCUAUGGAUGAGUUAGUAACUCUCAAACAACUGGGCUCUGUUGAUCAGUUUCAUGAUGGCUUUUUGAGUUUGUUGAACCAGCUCAAUUUACCUGAAACAUAUGCAUUGAGUAUAUUCCUUAGUAAUCUAAAGCCUGAAAUAGGUCAAGAUCUCCGGCUGUUUAAACCUCAAACAUUGGUAGAAGGUUACAAUCUGGCGAGACAGGUUGAGAACAUUAUGUCUAGGCCAAUGAAAAGGGAAUUUCCUACUAGUAGUGGAGCUAGUUCGGUGAGGCCUUUAUUUCCUGUACCUAAAGUGCAGCGGGAUGGAGGUAGUUUGACUUCUGCAGGAGAUUCAGUGAAUGGUAAAUCAAGACACAUAAUUCCCUCUAAGUCAUUGUCCCAAGUGGAGUUGGAAGAUAGGAGGAAAAAUGGUCUUUGUUUUUUGUGUAGGUUGAAGUAUUCACCAGGCUAUAAGUGCUCGAAGUCUUAGAUGUAUCAGCUGAUUGUUGAACCAUUAUGGGAAUAUGGUACAGAGACAAUGAGUCCAUCUCAUGAAGACUUCCAAGAUUGUUCUGAGCUGUUGGAUUUAGCAAAAACGGCUCUAGGGAGCCCUACUCCUGUAUUGUCAUUACAUGCAUUACAAGGGUUGUAGAGACAUAGUACUAUGAGGUUUCCAACAGCUAUUGAUCACAUUGAAGUGGUGGUUUUGGUGGAUUCUGGUAGCACGCACAAUUUCAUAGAUUUUAAGGUGGCCAAACGACUGAAAUUAACAAUAGAACCAGGACCUAAUUUGAGGGUAAUGGUAUCUAAUGGAGUCCGAUUGUGUACACAAGGAUUGUACAGAGCAGUGUUGUGGGAAGCACAAGGAUACAAGUUUUUCACUAAUUUCUUAGUUUUAUCAGUAAAGGGCUUUGACUUGGUGCUUGGCAUUCAUUGGUUGCUGUCUUUGGGACCGAUCGUGUGGGAUUUUUCUAAUUUGACUAUGCAAUUUACUCAUGGGAAACAUAACUGUAUUCUGCGAGGCACAGUACCAGGGUCAAUGCAUAUUGUCCUUAGUAGUUAAUUUUCCAAAUGUAUGAGUCUGGUAGGUAAUGGACCAUGCCCGAUGCUGUUGGCUUCUUGUGAUCAUACCACUCUUACAAUGCAGUCAGCACAGUCACCACCUGAAUUGCAACGUCUUCUUGCUGAAUUUGAGGACAUAUUUCAGACGCCUACAAGCCUACCUACUCCCCGACUACAUGACCAUAAAAUUCCUCUGAUAGAUGAAUCUAAGGUUGUCAAUGUGAGGCCUUACAGAUACCCUGCGAUUCAGAAGACUGAAAUUGAGAAGUUAGUACAGGAGAUGUUACAAGCUGGAUUUAUCAGGGACAGUGAUAGUCUAGUUGCAUCUUCGGUGGUGAUGGUCAAGAAGAAGGAUGGGAGUUGAAGGCUAUGUAUAGACUAUAGACAGCUCAACCAAUUGAAUGUCAAUGAUAGGUUCCCUAAUCCUAUCAUCAAUGUAACACUCUAAACUCGAGUCUGUUGCUAGAUUAGGAUUACGAGGUAUUACCAAUCAAUACACAUCAUUAUAAAAUUAUUCUAUAUACAUCAUUCAAUCAUUAACACAUCGUAAACAUUCAAUCUCUAUUAUCAUCAACCAAAAUUAUGCUUAGUAUCCAUACCAAAGUGUACCAAAUUCACAUGCCACAACCAUUCAUUCAUCUAUAAUCAUUAUCUCAAUUUCAAUACAAUCAUAUAACAAUUAUAGACCAAAUUCCUUAACUCAUAUACUUAUAUAAUUUCAUACUAUCACAUAUACCAAAUUUAAGCCAAAUCACAAAGCUUAUUACAUAUCAAAUGCAUAGAUAUCAAUUACCAAAUUACUUAUACCUAUCAAAUCAUCACAAGGUCAAUACAUGUCAUUUUUCAACUUCAAAAGCUAUUCAAUUGGUCAUUUAUAUAUGGUUACAUUCAUGCUCAUCACAUAACUUAUAUGUCAAUUCGAAACGUCACCUCAAAUCACCAUGAUUCAACUAUCCAAAACAUAUACCAAAAUCACAUACCUUAUUAACCAUGUUUUAUAUAUAUCUAUACCAUAUAAUUAACCAAUUCAUCAUUCUAAAUCCAAUCACACCAAGGCAUUACUUAAGCAAUUAUGUACCAAAAUGGGUCGUAAUGUAUGAUUAUACAAACAUUAAAUCACAACGGUAAAAAGCCAUUUCAUAAAGCCAAAUACAUAAUCAUCAACAUGCCAAAAUGACCAUUUCUCAUUAGGCCGAAUAUACAUAGAAACAUACCAAAUCUCAACACCAAUUACAUAUCAUAAUUAAACCAUAAUCACAUUUAAUAUCAUGCCAUAUCACAUGACAAGAUUUUCACCUUUCAAAACAAAUUCCAAGAUCUCUAGUCUAUACAUGCCAUACUUUAGUAUUUACAUUUCCAAAAAAAUACCAAAAUAGAUGUCUGAUAGUGUGAUUGAGUCUCUCACGAUCCUCGGAUCCGAGCUAGCUUUAUAACACUAUAAAACAAAGAAAACUUCGCACAAUAAGCUCAGAGCUUAGUAAGUUCAUAAUAUAAUACAUUUAACUCAUUAUAAAAAAAAUACUAUAUGACAUAAUUGCUAACACAUAGUUCAACUCAAAUUACUACUCAAUAUUAUUCAUAACUAUUACUCAUUCCAUACCAUUUCUUUUAAAUCACAUACAAAUAUAUUUAUUUCUACUCAUUCCCAACUUAUUCAACCAUGUUCAUCCAUUCUUAUACUCUUGUUUCUAUUUCAUACAUAAUAACAUCAACCACAUAGGUUUUGAAUAUACAUGUACCAUCUCAUACAUAUCUGUUACAUUUACCACUUCCUCGUUCAGUGACAUCGCACACUUAGUGCCAACAAAUUCACCAAAGCUAUAAUAUAUCACACACUUAGUGCCUUUACGUUAAAUCGAAAUUUGGUUAAGUAUCGCACACUUAGUACCAAUUAUUCUGCCAACGCGGCUUUAGUCUCGCACAUUCAGUGCCAUUUUGGUAGCCGUAUAUAUAUAAUAUUUACACACUUAGUUCCGCAUAUAUUCGAUCCACAUUUCACAUUUUUAAUUUAUCAAUCCCAUUUAUAUUUAUUUCAUCUCAUUCAAAUAUUAUUUAAAACCGUGUGCAUUAUAUUCGAACUUACCUCGGACGUAGCAACGACGAGAUUAGUCGAUCAAUCGAGUACUUUGUUUUUACCUCGAUCUAGAUCCGAAUUUCUCCUCUCUUGAUCUAUAUACAUUUAAAUUCACUUAUUCAAUCUCACAUUUCAUCCACAUAAAUCCAUAAACACAUAGUUAGACUUUUUUUUAAAAUUAGUACUCAUAUUUUCACCUGUGGACAUUUUAGUCCCUAAUUCAUAAAUACACAUAAAUUCUUUGUACUCAUGCUUGGCCGAAUUUUUAUUGAGUCCUUAGCAACUCAUAUUCUUCAUUUAUUUCACAUCUAACCCCUCAAUUUCUCAUUUUCACAAUUUAACCUAUAAUGCUCAAAUUCAUUAAAAUUCAAAUACAAAAACAUAUUUAUUUAUCACAUAUCCAUCAUAUUUCAUCAACUAUCAUCACAAAACUUACAAAAUCAUCAAUGACACAUUUCAAAACCAUAAUCAAAUUUUAAAAUUGAGGCAUGGGCUUGAUAGAUUAUUGAGCAACAAUCAUAAAAAUAUAAAAAUCAUCAAAAAUGAAUCAAAACACAUACCUUAAUUAAGAAAAUUUCUAGCCGAAACCUAGCUAGCUUUUUUCUUUCUUUUCUUCCUUUGAAUUUUCGGCAAGAUGAACA
rnacentral:lncRNA from 1 species